UCCUAAGGUUUGUUUAGAUAACUGUUCCUGCACGGCUUAUGCUUAUGAACGAGGAAUCGGAUGCAUGAUUUGGAGUGGUAGCUUAGUUGAUAUGCAAUCCGAUUUGAGUAAUGGCAUUGAUCUUUAUAUUCGGGUAGCGCAUUCAGAACUCGGUGAGUAAAAAUCUCUAGUGGUCUCUCUUGAUUUCUUCCCCCAUUCAACUUUGACUUCAUUGCCUUACGUUUUCUCACCAAAUCUUGUAGAUACACAUAGGAAUCGAACAAUUAUUAUCGCAGCAUCCGUAUUGGGCGUUGCGUUUAUUGCUGUGGUCUGCGUUCUUUUAGCAUGCCGGAAAUUA
rnacentral:lncRNA from 1 species